rnacentral:lncRNA from 1 species
AGAAAGAAAGAAAGAAAGAAAGAAAGAAAGAAAGAAAGAAAGAAAGAAAGAAAGAAAGAAAGAAAGAAAGAAAGAAAGAAAGAAAGAAAGAAAGAAAGAAGAAAGAAAGAAGAAAGAAAGAAAGAAGAAGAAAGAAAGAAAGAAAAGAAAGAAAGAAAGAAAGAAAGAAAGAAAGAAAGAAAGAAAGAAAGAAAGAAAGAAAGAAAGAAAGAAAGAAAGAAAGAAAGAAAGAAAGAAAGAAAAGAAAGAAAGAAAGAAAAAGAAAGAAAGAAGAAAGAAAGAAGGAAAGAAAGAAGAGAAAAGCGCGGAGGGGGUGGGAGCUGGGGGGGUAACCAAUGGAGUGAAGGAGGCUUGGCUAACCUUAGCCUCCCAAUUUCUCUCCCCCCAGUUCAGGGCUCUGACCAGUCAGUCGCCUUUGAUUAUCAGUUGCCAGCAGCCCUUCUCUUGGGUCCUUGACACGAGCUCCAUAUAAGGCAGCUAUCUCCAUAGAAACGUGUCAGUUUCAAUAGUAGUGUCAAAGUUCACUAUAUACAGACAUUCGCGCAGAUCCCCCUUUCGGAAACAUUGCUUCGCUAGGCUUACCGUUUAAACGCAUUCAUUUUUUGGGUCUCUCUCUCUCUCCCUCUCUCUCCCUCUCUCCCCCUCUCUCCCUCUCACCCCCCCCUUCUCUUUCUUGCAUAUUCUAUUAGUUGUGUGCCCCCCCUUCAUCUCCCUCUUCUCCUUCCUUUUCUUCUUUUUUCCACCCUUCCUCCUUGUGUCUUUCGCUUCAUUCCUGCAGGAGAAGAGGAGAGAGUAUCGUGCGCUCUCACAGAAGAACACCGAAACGGCAAGAAAGAGAAGAGGAUUUAUUUACCGACCUACUUUGGAUCUCUCUUUUUCCUGCAAGUGUCAUUAUUAUUCCCGUUCUCUAUUUUUACACUUCGCCGUGAAUUCGUCUCCUCUGCGAAUUUAGUCACAUCCGAUUUUUUUCUGCGAUUUAAAAAAAAAAAAAAAAAAAAAAAAAAAAAAAAAAAGGCGAGAGAGAGCGCGAGCGAGCGAGAGAGACAGAGAGCGAGAGAGAGCAGCUCGGGAGAGAAAGAGCAGCGACCGGCAACCUCCUCCUCCUCCUCCUCCUUCCCUGCCGCCGCGACAGGAGAUCAAACUGCCUCAGCUCCCUGCCCGCCUCCGCCGCGCUCCCCGGCU